rnacentral:tRNA from 1 species
GGUGAGGUGGCCGAGUGGUUGAAGGCGCACGCCUGGAACGCGUGUAUAGGGGAAACCCUAUCGAGGGUUCGAAUCCCUCUCUCACCGCCA